GUUAAGCCUUCAAACCAUAAUUUUGGCCAGGUGGACUUGUGAACUUUAAAAUUUGAAAAAUUAAAUAAACUGGUCUGAAUCAAUUUUCAAUCUAGCAACGAAAACAAAACAUAAUCCCUCAAAUAAUACGUAGGCAAUUUUAACCUCGAGUUCAGUUUCUAGAAGUAAAUUUGCCCCAGUUGGUAAUCAGUGUGAAAACUUGGAUCACAACCUUAAGGAUUUUCUCUCUUUU
rnacentral:lncRNA from 1 species